UCACGUACCUGGUGUCGGGCGAUACGCUGAUCAACAAGGGCGCGCCCCGAGAAGAGGCAUAUAUCGCUGACUCUCGCUGUUUUCCCAAACUGGGCUAACGGGACAUAUAAUUUUUGGUAGUGGGGGAGGACGCAACCUCCCCCA
rnacentral:snRNA from 1 species